UUAUCUAGCAAUGAGGAUAAAUGUUUAUCCCAGCUCAUUACGAGACCUCUUCCAGGUCUGGGAGUAGACUUGUUUCCAACAUUUAUCUGAGCUGAAAU
rfam:Punica granatum cultivar Dabenzi scaffold397, whole genome shotgun sequence.